AUACAAUCAUUGAUUUGAUACGCUGGAUGUAAACAAGGGAACGCAUAGGCGUAGGGCCCGGUCGAGGUGGUAGUGGGCAGAAUGAUAGUGGUGGCGGUAGAGACCGUAGAGGUCGGCACAGUUCACCACCAGCGGUAGAAGGUUGCGGACCGUCAGUCAACGCGCUGCGACCCUAACGCUAGAGCCAAGUCAGAAUAAUGAAGCCAAUAAAUUCAACAACAAAAUACCAACUCAACAUACUCCUAUAAGAUGAGAAGCACCCAAGGCCCCGGCGACGGCUGUACCUGCUCCUGCCACCAUCCCUAACAUCCCUUUACCACUGCUGCCACUUGAGUGUUGUGGUGGUGGUGCUUGCUGAGGAACACAACCGUGACUUGGCAUUUGUUGUGAAAGUUCCUGUGACAUGAGCAAUCUUCCCCGGUGAGAAGCCUCCAGGAAUAGGUGCCAAGUACGGAGCUCCCUGGAGGGAUGAGGAACAUCUGUAUGAGCUGGAUGUUGUGAGAAGAUGAUAGCUGAAUCAUAAGAGGAUGAUGGCCGAGUCAUGAGUGAAUGAUGACCGAGGAUCCAAAGGAUGAUGUGCUGAGUCAUGAUAUAUCUCAUAUAAGUACAUUUACACAGGUGUGACAUUUCUUAUAUGAGAACAAAUUUCUGCAUUGAUUUUUUUUUAUAUUGCACUUACAGCAGUAAGCAAGCUUUCCAAUAGCAGCAGUCUAAGGGUUAAUAUGAGUUGUGUGCCAUUUGAAGAUCCUGCAUUAUACCAAAAUUAUGCUUUAAGUUUUUACAAUUGCCAAAAGUCACAAGCAAUUUAUGUAAGUUUAGGGUAUAUUAGAAAUGAAUGUAACUAUUAUCCAUAUAUCAUAUAUUACCUAACCUAACCCAACCUAAACUAAUCUAACCUAAACCAACCUAAUCCAACUCCUAAUGAGAUAAAACAGCACACCCUCACCAGACACAAGCCAGGGUAAGCAAGUU